AGUGGCGAACGGGUGAGUAAUGCAUCGGAACGUGCCCAGUCGUGGGGGAUAACGCAGCGAAAGCUGUGCUAAUACCGCAUACGAUCUAUGGAUGAAAGCGGGGGACCGUAAGGCCUCGCGCGAUUGGAGCGGCCGAUGUCAGAUUAGGUAGUUGGUGGGGUAAAGGCCUACCAAGCCAACGAUCUGUAGCUGGUCUGAGAGGACGACCAGCCACACUGGGACUGAGACACGGCCCAGACUCCUACGGGAGGCAGCAGUGGGGAAUUUUGGACAAUGGGCGCAAGCCUGAUCCAGCAAUGCCGCGUGCAGGAAGAAGGCCUUCGGGUUGUAAACUGCUUUUGUACGGAACGAAACGGUCUGGGUUAAUACCCUGGACUAAUGACGGUACCGUAAGAAUAAGCACCGGCUAACUACGUGCCAGCAGCCGCGGUAAUACGUAGGGUGCAAGCGUUAAUCGGAAUUACUGGGCGUAAAGCGUGCGCAGGCGGUUUUGUAAGACAGGCGUGAAAUCCCCGGGCUCAACCUGGGAAUUGCGCUUGUGACUGCAAGGCUGGAGUGCGGCAGAGGGGGAUGGAAUUCCGCGUGUAGCAGUGAAAUGCGUAGAUAUGCGGAGGAACACCGAUGGCGAAGGCAAUCCCCCUGGGCCUGCACUGACGCUCAUGCACGAAAAGCGUGGGGGAGCAAACAAGGAUUAGAUACCCUUGGUAGUCCACGCCCCUAAAC
rnacentral:rRNA from 1 species